GAUGAAGAACGCAGCGAAAUGCGAUAAGUAAUGUGAAUUGCAGAAUUCAGUGGAUCAUCGAAUCUUUGAACGCACAUUGCGCCCGCCAGUAUUCUGGCGGGCAUGCCUGUUCGAGCGUCAUUACAACCCUCAGGCCCCCGGGCCUGGCGUUGGGGAUCGGCGGAGCCCCCCGUGGGCACACGCCGUCCCCCAAAUGCAGUGGCGGUCCCGCCGCAGCUUCCAUCGCGUAGUAGCUAACACCUCGCGACUGGAGAGCGGCGCGGCCACGCCGUAAAACACCCAACUCUUCUGAAGUUGACCUCGAAUCAGGUAGGAAUACCCGCUGAACUUAAGCAUAUCAAUAAGCGGAGGA
rnacentral:misc_RNA from 1 species